GACGGAGGAUGCAAGUGUUAUCCGGAAUCACUGGGCGUAAAGCGUCUGUAGGUGGUUUAAUAAGUCAACUGUUAAAUCUUGAGGCUCAACUUCAAAAUCGCAGUCGAAACUAUUAGACUAGAGUAUAGUAGGGGUAAAGGGAAGUUUCCAGUGGAGCGGUGAAAUGCGUAGAGAUUGGAAAGAACACCAAUGGCGAAAGCACUUUACUGGGCUAGUCGACUGACACUGAGAGACGAAAACUAGGGGAGCGAAAUGGG
rnacentral:rRNA from 1 species